CGCAUCUGUGCAUGCAGCAUAUCAAUAAGCGGAGGAAAAGAAACUAACAAGGAUUCCCUCAGUAACGGCGAGUGAAGCGGGAAGAGCUCAAAUUUGAAAUCUUGAAAGGUCUACCUUGCACGAAUUGUAGUUUAAAGAAGUGUUUUCUGUGACGAUCUGGUAAUAUAAGUUCUUUGGAGUAGGACAUCACAGAGGGUGAGAAUCCCGUCUAUGAAUUGCGAUUUGUAGCUUUGUGAUACACUUUCAAAGAGUCGGGUUGUUUGGGAAUGCAGCCCAAAACGGGAGGUAAAUUUCUUCUAAGGCUAAAUAUUGGCGAGAGACCGAUAGCAAACAAGUACCGUGAGGGAAAGAUGAAAAGAACUUUGAAAAGAGAGUUAAAUAGUACGUGAAAUUGUCAAAAGGGAAGCGUUUAACACCAGUGUUGUUUUCUGAAAAUCAACCUCUGUUAGCUUUAUGCAUGUUUGUUUAGACCUAAUCAGCUAUCUUGCAUGUUCUAUUGUUUGCAGUGGUGCACUUUUCAGUUUACAGGUCAACAUCAGUUUUUUUUACCGUAAAAAAGUUAAAGAAAGGUAGCUCAUGGCUCCGGUCGUGAGUGUUAUAGUCUUUUUCCUAUGCGGUAGGAGAGACUGAGGUCUGCAGUGUAGGCUAUUUGGCUAGAUACUCAGGUGCUAUGUGAUACCAUUUCCAUAAACAACUUGUUGAUUAUGUUUUGUCUAUUGCAUACUCGCUUGUACUAUCAUACCUACGCUUAGGAUGUUGAAGUCAUCGUAUCGCGC
rnacentral:rRNA from 1 species